AAGCCCCUUGAUGAGAGUGG
rnacentral:misc_RNA from 1 species